AGAGAGAUUCCGUCACCACCAAAAGAGUUAAACACAGGGACACAUUUGAAGUCUCGGAGCCGGGUGUUGGUUCCGGUAGCGAUCGAGGGAAAUUAGUACCGAAGUCCGGGAUGGAAGAUGGCGAGAAAAGCUGUGUGUAUUUCUGCGGUGCCCGUACCGCAAACCGACACAGGUAGGUAGGAAGAAGAUUCUAAGGCCAACGGGAGAAGGGUUGUUAAGGAACUCGGCAAAUUGACCCCGUAACUUCGGGAGAAGGGGUGCUCUAGAGAUAGAGCCGCAGAGAAUCGGCCCAAGCUACUGUUUACCAAAAACACAGGUUUGUGCUAAAUCGAAAGAUGACGUAUACGAGCUAACGCCUGCCCGGUGCUGGAAGGUUAAGAGGAGAUGUGCAAGCAUUGAAUCGAAGCCCCAGUGAACGGCGGCCGUAACUAUAACGGUCCUAAGGUAGCGAAAUUCCUUGUCAGGUAAGUUCUGACCCGCAUGAAAGGCGUAAUGAUUUGGGCACUGUCUCGACAGCCCGCCCGGCGAAAUUGUAGUACCGGUGAAGAUGCCGGUUACCCGCGACAAGACGGAAAGACCCCAUGGAGCUUUACUGUAGCCUAAUAUUGGGUUUCGAUGUUGCAUGCACAGGAUAGAUGGGACACUGGGAAGCAAGUGCUUUGGCAUUUGUGGAGUGGCCGUUGGGAUACCAUCCUUGCGAUAUUGGAAUUCUAACCUGCGCCUUUGAAUCAAGGCGGGGGACAUUGUUAGGUGGGCAGUUUGACUGGGGCGGUCGCCUCCUAAAGAGUAACGGAGGCGUUCAAAGGUUCGCUCAGCUUGAACGGAAAUCAAGCAAAAGAGUGCAAACGCAGAAGCGAGCCUAACUGCGAGACUGACGGGUCGAGCAGUAACGAAAGUUGGAGUUAGUGAUCCGGUGGUAUGUGAGUGGAAAUGCCAUCGCUCAACGGAUAAAAGUUACCCUGGGGAUAACAGGCUGAUCUCCCCCAAGAGUCCACAUCGACGGGGAGGUUUGGCACCUGAUGUCGGCUCAUCGCAUCCUGGGGCUGUAUUCGGUCCCAAGGGUCUGGCUGUUCGCCAAUUAAAGCGGUACGCGAGCUGGGUUCAGAACGUCGUGAGACAGUUCGGUCCCUAUCUGUCGUGGGCGCAGGAUAUCUGAUGGGAGCUGUUCCUAGUACGAGAGGACCGGAGCGGACGUACCUCUGGCGCACCAGUUGUUCUGCCAAGGGCAUAGCUGGGCAACUAUGUACGGAUCGGAUAAACGCUGAAAGCAUCUAAGCGUGAAGCCGACCCAAAGAUAAGAUAUCCCAUUGUUUCAAACAAGUAAGACCCCUUGAAGACUACAAGGUUGAUAGGCAUGACGUGUAAGUGGAGUGAUCCAUUCAGCAAGCGUGUACUAAUAGGUCGAGGGCUUGACC
rnacentral:rRNA from 1 species